ensembl:lncRNA
GAGGGGUGGCGAGGGAGGGAGGGAGGGAGGGUCGGCGGGUCGACAACGGUGACGGCGACCUUCAGACCUCAGCUGUCCGUCAUACUUCAGAAGCCAUGGGAACGCUUGAGUGAGGGGUCGUCGGGUGGCUCAGGGCUCCGUGCCAAAAGUCUUCCGCGAGGAGUCUCCUGCAUGAAUGACAGACGUUUUAGAGCUCGACUGGAGGAGAAGAACCUCUAUUUAGAUAAUCACACUGGGUUUCUUUUAGCUUCUCAAAUGUAUAAAUGUUCCCCUUUGACGUUGGGUGGCUGGGAAGUACGUCUCUUGGUUUUAACUGGCAUGUUCUGACGGUGAUCAUUUUAAAGUUUUUUAAGUAUUAGUUUAGUUUUCCACUGUUCCAAAGCCUGAUUUCACUUAUUUCUCACAGAGGAACGUCUGACCUUGUGACCGUUGCAGCCUGGGAUUAGAACCCUUUUCUAAUUUCAGCCCGUCCUUGUAUUCAAUCAUCGUGCUCUCGAAAAACGUGCCUCUACACGACCAUGUGAGUUAUAUUCAACAAGAGACAUUUCAGCUGGCAGGCUUUUCUCCAUCUCCUACACAUUUCUGUUUUCCACAGGCAGCUCUCGCAAAUCCUGGGCACAAAUGUCGGGGCAGUAUUUUUUUCAGACCACUUGGUGGCAACAGUGUCUCAUGUUGUAAAAGGCAACUUUAUUACAGUAUUGAAUAACAGUAAGCAGUGAGACAAGACACAUCGGCCCAAAGUGAUUCCUCCCACAGAACCUGCAUCACUUUGUCACUAACGGCGUGCGUAUAUGUAGAGCUGCAGCACCAGGAAAUAGCUCCUGUGAAAGACCCGUCCUGCAGCACGGCACGUGCACGAAUGUAAAAUGGCAAAUGCACAGAUGUAAAAUAGCACAUGCACAGAUGUAAAAUGGCAACACACAAAUAUGAGAGCUACUCUGCUACUGCUCUGCUUUCCCGAGGAAAGUUCUCACAGUAAAAUGUGCAGAAAAGUUUCUGUUUUUGUGGUGAUUCUUUUUCCAUUUUCAGUUUUCCUGUGUUGGUUUUUCGAAGUAUGUUCAGAACAAAGUAGCCUUCAAAAAUCAAUGCUCUGUGGAUGCCACUGAUUCCACGAUAACAAGAAUCAACAAGUGUGUUGGUUCUGUUUGUCUUCUCUCCACACUGAGGCCUGUGCAAUGGGUAAUUCUGUUAUUGUAACUCUUUUUUUUUUACUGGGGCAAAAGCCUGAUGAAUUGACGCCACACUGCAAAACAACACCCUGAAGUUUCCCAAAGGGGGCAUGAGCUAAUUGUCUGUUGUGUUGUUUAACCCUUAAUGAAUCACAGCAGUUCACACUGAGGAGAAUAUUAAUCUAAUUAUAGAGGUUCAGAGCAACAGACUCUCAUAGAUGAGUAAUUAACAGCCGGCGGAUGUAAACAAUUCAAUUAUUCCCUGUUUGAGGGAAUGCAUAUAAUCCAGCUGCUGGAACCUCUGGCUCAGUUUUCAAGAGGAACCCUGUCAUUUUAUUUUGGCAACUCAAACGUUUUUAUAUAUCAUUUAUUUACCCUUAUAUCACAAAACACGGUCACCAGAUGGUUUCUAUCACAUCCAGCGUUGCUGUCGGUUGUUUGUAUAAUAUUUAGUAUUCAAAGCAAAAAUUGUCCUUUGUCAAAAUCCUCGGUGGCGCAAUGAGAUGUGAUGUCAGAUCAGACGCGCUGUUUUACACAUUCACACAUAUCACCGAUGUAAAGCUAAUCACGUUGAAGCUACUGCAUUCUGCGUAUACGGUUACCUUCUGUUUACAUCCACCUAUUUCAGAAAUGUCACUUUAUCCUGUGAAAUCUUUGUGUGAAAAUGUCAUAUUUAGCACAUGAAUUAUUGAGUCAUGUCCAAAAAACGUGACAGUGACCUUCGACAACCAAAUUACAUCAGUUCACCCUUGAGUGCAGGUGGAUUUUUUGUACUAAAUUCCCUCUGGCCACAGCUGUUGCCGGCACAGAGGCAUAAAAAACAGAUCCAUCACUAAGAUUAAAGGGGUCCUUGGUGCACCACUACUUGGGCCUUCAGUUCCGUGAAUGCAGCAAAAUAUCAUCCCCAGCUUAAAAAAAUAACUAAAAUGUUCAACCGUGGUCAAUAAAGGUUUACGAUGCUGUGGGUAAACCGUAUGUGGGGAAGCAAUAUAACUCCAAUGAGCAGCCAGUUAGCUUAGCUUAUUUUAGCGUAAAAAUAUUAUAUCAUUUCAUUUACUUGUGCUGAUAUCUAUAGUAAAGCUUUCCAUUUGCUUGAAUCAAAAGCAUAAUAACAAGCAAGUCCAUAACUAAAAUGCUUAAUGUUUAAUUGUGCUUACAUUUCAGCAAAAGGAUGUGAGUGUGAUAAAGAAGAGGCUGACAUGAGGUAAUUCAACAAGGCAAUUCAACAUCUAUUGCAAUCAGCUGACUUGGCCUCAUAUCUAUAAACUACCUAUGAAGUUUCUUGGCAUCUUUCGAUACAAAAUUCAGUGACAUGCACACUCGUGUGCUUGAGACGGAGCAGCUGUUUCGCUGCGGCGGCGUUCUGAACUUUCCCAGGAACCUUUUUUAAAAUUGCACUCACUGGAAGAGAACUUGUGAGGGCGAAGGCCUCUUGUUUAAUCAAUCCCUGCCGCUGGAGUUCCUCUUCCUCAGUUCAGGGAGGCAAAGGUGGAACACAAACUCAAGCUAGGACGGCAGUGCAAAGAGUCACGGUGAGGAAGCUGUUGGCAGUGAAGGACGACAUUCAGACCCUUUAAGUGUACAUUGGUGUGAAUAAACAAGUGCAACGCCUGUAUUCCAAAUCCUGCAAGUACACACUCAAGUACAUGUACAUGAGUGGGACCAUCAUGCUGCAUGAGAGACGGCCCUUAUAAAUAAUAUAUUAUUUGACAUGAGAUUGAUAAUAUGAGUCGAGUGUUAACAGCAUUUUACUGCUCAUUUUAAACAUUUGUACAGUUACUCAGAAUAGUACGUGGUUCUCAGCUUGGGUGUGAGGCCCAAAGUUACACGACGUUACAUUCACUACUUUUCUUGAACUACAACCAAAAAUAGAAACGCUCGACGGACACGGCUGAUAUGAAGUGCACCCAUGAGCUUUUUGUCAUACAGUUAAUUGCAGAGUGUUUUUCAUACGCAACCUACUCAAUUUGCAUCAACUUGAGACAGAAGCUGCUAAUCAACAACCAUCAUCUCAUCGUAUUUGCAGAGAAUAACUCAAAGGUAAUUACACAAUCAUACAACGGGGCAGUAAUAUUGCUAACCGAGAGCACAGGCAUAUUUGGGACACUAAGGAAAGUUUAAAGCAAGCAGAUUUUCUCCAGAGUGUAAUAAAUGUUUUACAUCCUCCUUUAAGAUCAGCAGAUUCCAUCUGAUGUCAGAGACAAGCGCCUGUUAUGGUUUAAUGAGGCUGCUUUAGAGGACUUUGAAGAUAAUUCACACUAACGCCUCACAACUAUUGAUUCUAAUAGGCAGGAAUUACGUCCCAGACUUGUAGUACCUUGUUACAAAUGUCUGCAGGGCCAAACAACAACCUUUCCGCCUCACGCUCACAGUGAGAGAAGGUGGACCAGCAGUCUUCACCUCCUGACAGCACAGCUGCUGUGGCCAAAAUCAUUCCUGUCAUGUUAGUUUAUAAGAAAAUGUCCUUUUAGCACACAAGUUGAUUUAAAGCUGCAGCAUUGUGCGCCUAGUUGGUUUGGUGAAAUGUGAGCGCUGCUAUAAAUGUGAUUAUGUUUCAGCCCCAGCAAACUAUUUGUGUAAGUUAAUGGGUAUAAAAUGGGAGUGCUAAAAAAAACAGUGUCAAGGGUCACGGGAAAGACAAUGGUGUUUUAAUUCAGUGUUUUUUGCUGCUUAAAAUGAACUUAACUUAGAAUGUAAUGCUCAUAGAUCACGGGUUCAGCUUGUGUCACUGCGUCAGUGUUUUAUCAUAAACAUUUAUACAUCUGCCUUCACACACGCCGUCAAAACCACAUGACCCUGUCAGGUGAAGAUUCCCUAUCUUACUCAAGCUGCCAAAUAGAAGGAUUAUCUUCAAUGUGUUUGUACAUUAAGGCGUGAAAAUGUUGCCUCAUGAAAUCCGUCACGUGUGGAGGAUCCAGAUCGAGGGAAACUUCACAUCGAGAUCUGCGGUUUACAAAACCCCAGCUGGAAAUUCAUAACAGCAUUUCUGUAAAUCUGAUUCACAAAAAACAUCGGAGGCCUGGAACCUGCAACCUGCAACGCUUUUGUCUCCUGCCAUCGCUGCCCGAGCAGUUAUUAAUAAACUAAUUAGCGGAUUAUUAUCUGCCCACCUGUGCUCUCUUGUUCCUGGAAAGAAAUGGUCUUCACAGCAGUGACAAUAACACUGAGGAGACUUCAUGUUGUGUCACCCAGCGUCACGGUGUACGUACACACCACAGUGCGGGAGGACGGCCAGAUGGUUGGAUGCGUUUUCGUUCCCGUCUUCGAUCUAAAACGGUACAAAAGCCGUCUUAAAUUACAAAUGAAAAUAUGUUUAAAUGUGAGGAAAGGACAUGAACAUCUGUUAUACUUUUUUUUAUUAGAUUUACAGGUUGGAUAGAUAUGAAGGAGGAUCUAUCUUCAUUCGAAAAGGGUACAAAUUGGACACAUUGAAAAUCCUCUUUCCGUCUCCACUAAUCUGGAUACCAGUAAGAGAAAUGGAGCCAAAUCCUUAAGAAGGAUGAAAGUAGAUGUUGACUAUAGGCUACACACAGCUUAUGGAGGUAUGACUUGCCUUUUGUAAGGAUUACAGGUUUCGCUUUCAUCCAAUUUCCCUCUGGUGCAAACAAAUUGUAGAAAGGUCACUCGGCUAGAGACAUUACUCUUUGAUUAUCUUUCAGUAUAAAUUAUUUAAUUAAAAAAAACGUUUGUUUUGCAGCUUGUAUUUAACGCUGAGGACAAUCUAUUCGGUAACUUCCACAGAAAAGCACGGACGGAUUUUCAAAGAGAAAAACUGAAACCUGCUCACUGCGGCAGCGGAAACACUUGUUUUCUUCGUGGUUAUCGUGUCGUGAACACGACAGACCAGAGGACGUUGUGUUCAAGCUCACUUGUGCGUUUGCUCGGCUGAACACAUUCAUCUCUUUGGGAGACAGAACUGAGAGUAAAUAACUAGUCCUAAAAUGAUGCUUGUAAUAUGUUGUAAGACAAAUAAUUAAUCAUAUGAAAGUAUUGACAUUAUUUUUUAUCAAUACCAAUAUCUUUUUUUAAUGAUGAAUUAUGUUCUGAAUCUUCUCCUUUGAUUUACGGAGUGUGAUUUCAAGAAGCAUUACAUGUUUAUAUAAAGGCUGUGAUAUCUGUCAAAAAUGCAUUUAUUAUAGUCAUUGAGUUUCAGCUUUACUUGGGGUACAGGACCCCCAAACUGAGGAGUUGAAUAUCCUCAUAUAAUCACAGUAUUUGUAAUCUGUUCCUUUCAUUUGCUCUCUCUCGUGCUCCGGGGACGAGGGGGCCAACGUUGAAUGACGUCCGAGCACCAGGGGCCAGUUCACUCGGCCCUUGGAAGGAGCGCCGUAGAGACGGGACGGGGACAGAGGCUGGGUAGCUGGUAGUGAACGGUGAGCGCACUCACACCGCGCCGGUUCUACCUUCUCAAGAGGCCUCCAGGCCGCAAAUUGGGGUUCAGUUCCUUCGCCCGAGGACAUUUCCGCAUCCGUUGCUCCGUCAGUCUCCAGUCCGCCCCCCCCCUUCCCAACCCGUACGCAGCCGAGCUAACGAACUGCUGAGCUGAUCCUUGAAUCCGUCUUCAUGCGGAGGACACUGGAGUGAUACCUGGAGCACUGGGCAGCAAGAAAAGGCCACGCUCGCUCUCAGAAGCUGGAGUGAAAGCACUUGAGUGAGCAUAAACGAAUUCAGCUGGCGGCUCGGCGUGCUGCAGAAGCCAAGAGGCGCCGUUUUCAGUAAUGAACAAAGGUGCGGCAGAGAGCAGCUCCCUCAUCCGCUGUGCCAAGAUGUGACCGCACAUCUGAUAUCGUUCUAAUGGCACUACUUUUACUCUGGUAAUAUUUUAUGGAGGCUUCUGAAAGAGAAAAGGCUGGAUUUUUCUGCUUAUGGCAGCAAAGUAAUAAAUCUGCUGAUGAGACAAAAAUUGAAUAUAAUAUAUAUACAUAUUAUAUUUGGACACAGGUUUGUGUUGGGAUUUGAUUGAGAUGGCAAUUAAAAUUGAGUCGCUAAAACUAUGAAUGGACAUUUUUAUUCCUUACCAGCCUGCCGUCAAAGACGGAAAUGCAAACGACCUUCAGGAGUGAAACAGAAACUCAUCUACUCCGGAAGGCUGAACACGUCGGAUCGCAAACCCAUGAAUGAAACCUCCCGAAGCAUCAAACCGAAUACUGAAUCGACUUUAAUGAGCAGACAGAGAACACCUAGGAACAGUAGUUCCUUUAUACCAAUAUUGCAUUAUUUUCCACACGCUCCGUUUUAUUCAGCUUUGAUGUGUCAAGAAGAUCAAUACUCACCCUGUAAUCAAUCUUUUGCCAACAUUUACAUUAAAUGUUUUAUUGGUGCAUAAACAUCAAUUUAAAAAUGUAGAGGGUGAGAUGGAUGUUUAGUGUUUAUGGAAUUGUUCUUCUCUUCAAAAGGCAGGUGUGUGAUGACUCCACGCUCUCCACAACCGCUUGAUGAAUGCAGGAGACUCGGUUAACUAUCCCACAAUUAUAAAGCUCUCUAAGAAAACAUGCAGAUCAGAAAAGAGCCUUUCGCUCCGUCUGUUUCAAUUAACCUACGAGAGGUGGAGAAUGGGCCGGGGGAACUUUGCAAAGGGCACAUGGAGAAAGAGGUCAAUUAACCGCCCCUCUGUCUAAUUUGUAAAACUGUCAAUAAAUUCUCUGCCUGUCUGUCUGCAUCUCUGUCUCUCUUCAUUAAACAUGACAGCUGGACGAAAGGCUUUGAAAUCAAGGAUUUUGUGACUUUUUCCAUUUGUUUAUUUUUUAGGACACGGCAGACCAGUUGCAACGUAAUGUUUUCAGCGGCGCUUAUGUUGUGUUGUGAGCGCCGCGGAGCAGUUCGGGGCGAAACUCAGAAGUCAAAUAAAUGCCCCGUCGGAUAUCAAAACAAAAAGUAUUGAUGAAUGAAGAAACAAUUGUGCUCCAGCAGAAGGGGCACUGCAGGGCAAAAGGGCAGGUGCUUGAGCACCACUAGAGGGGUCUAUCUGUUCACGUGCCUGGUGUGAAGUGUUCCCCCUCUUCAGUUCUCUCUAAACAGGACCCCUGCAGAAGCCACCUUGUGUACAAUAAUCUGUGGCUUAAACAGCCUCUAAUAAACGCAGUGCCAAAGACUAUAAUGCCCAUGUUUUUUGGUACACUGAAAAAAGCAAAUAGUUGAACCAACUUAAUUGAACUAUUUGAAUUGGUAACACACGAAUGAAUUAGGUUUUUCCAAAUGAAGUUAACAAGUUCUAUUAACACAAUUGAUUUUAGUCAGAUGGAUGUAAUAAUUCGAUGUGUUUCAAAUCAAUAUUUUGCAUUACUUUAACUCAAAAUCAAAACAAGUCAACCUAAAGUUUACAGUUUUUCCAACUCAAAUAUUUACUUUACCCAAAAGUAAAAUACUGCGUCUUUACAACCUAAAAGUAUGGUUUCAUAAAAGCUAAUUUUUGUAGUAUCCUUGGUGUAAAAUUGUACUUUUGGCCAAUUUUAAGUUGGCUAAAAGAAAAAUGACAGAGUCAAAUUUGAUGGCUUUCAAAAUGUAUUGCUUGUAUUUGUUUCCAGUGUUUUUUUUAACAUAAAUAUGCACAAAAUGCAUAACCAUGCCAAGUCACAUUUGGCCUUCUGAUAUGUAACAAUGUUUGGGAACACCUGACAGAAAUUGAACUUUUUCCCCAAAAAUCAUAUGUAUGAUAGAAGCAUUUGUAUACAAUCAAGUGAUAAUAUAUAUAAAACAACAUUGUAUCUUAACAUUUUUAUCUUGGAGCUAACAAAGGCCCAACAUCCAAAGGGGCUGAAUAGUGAAAUGCCCCAUAUCGAAACACUAUUGUGUUUGAAGUCUGCCAUACAGAUUAUGGACCUUGGGGGACAUCUUCUGCUGAUCAAGCUCCAUGAUUAUCUUCUGGAGCACUUUAAAAGUGAAAUGAAGUGGUUUUGGGUAAGAGAGGUUGAGUAUCAAUCCCAGAAGCAGGGCACAAGCUGAAACGGACAGCUUUUGACAGUUGAUGCAACACCUCCACACCCUCAAUGACGAUGCUAAUGUCUUCAGGUGGCUCCUGCAGUCCUUUCCCCUCUUUCCGAAAGACAACAAAUAUUGCCAUGGUGAUUUGCUCCAGGUCCCUCCGAGCAUCAUCUGCACUUGAGUCCUACACAUGUUUACACGACAAAGACAAAAUAUAAUUGGCAUCACUUCGCACUGUUAUGCACCAGAUAUGUGACAAUCAUAUCACUGGCACAAGUCCUCCACUGUGAUAACUUAUUGAUUAGGCUAAUUCAUCAUUUUGUUCUGAACACAAAAUUAAAAUCCACUACCUCUGUUCAUGAAAAAAAGUUUACGAGGGCAUCAAUUAUUUAAGACAAUAGCUAAAUAAUCAUAAAUAUGUAUGACUAAAAGAUGACAAAAUACAGAAAAAUUCCCCUUAAGAUUAAAGAUAUUCCCUGCACCGGAGUGUUUUCUACAUUUAUGGCUUUUGAAGUUCUCAUAGAUGUUGGUUUUAUAUUCAGUUUUGGAACACACAUGGUACAGUCUCUGUUUUUUUAGCAAUUACCUCCACCCCCGACCUAAUUUAGUCCAAGAGUAGGACCCCGCACUGCUGACAAAUGUAUGAACUACCGCGUCAAACACGCAAACACCGGCUGAUGUAACGUGAGUCUUAACAGAGACCUGGGUGCAAGUCGUAUAAUUAGCUUGGUAACAAGCUAAUGUAGCCUCACCCGGCUCAGUGUAGUUGCGCUAAUGUGCCUCCGCGCUGUACGAGAGGGCAGGUAUUUACAAAGGAAAACGUGCAGGUGGCGCCAGUAAAUGCGGACUUUCUGAGGCAGCUAAAACCCAAUUUUACAUAACGUUAACAUAAACCACAUUACCUUGAGGUUGUGGUGUAAUCCAGAAAUUGAGACCGGGGAAACCUUGUAGCUAAUGUAAGCAUGCGCAAAAUUGCUAAUAAGCAGCUAACGUUACAUCACUUUGAGUUAGAACAUUUAACCGGCAGUCCCAUCCGCCAAAAUCUUCGGUAUGCUAACGUUAGACAUGCUAACUGGACACCAACAUUACAGAAAUGUAAGCUAACGUUGACAUACUUGCCAGUAAAGGUAUCUCGAGUAACUACCGUACCGGAGCUCUUCUGUGCUGCACGUCAACACUUUGAGACGAACAAGGAGCAUCAAUCUAACGUAAAUGCUUUUCAAUGUAUGUUACAUCUUUAGUUUCAAUGAGCAUGCAUCUAAAAUUGAAUGAAUAAUAUUCCCCAAAUUCCAAUUAACUACACUUCCGGCUGUUACAGAGGGGAAACGCUGUAAUCUGUGAACUUUGAACAGUUCAUAUAUUGUUCAUAGUUUGUAGUUAAAGUUGUAAAAAUAACAACGUGGGGGUACCGACAGGGGGGGGUAUCGACUUUGGGGCACCCCUCCGUCGACCGGACCGUUCGGACCGUCGAGACAAGAGGGCUCGAAAGGGAUGUUUAAAAAUUUGGAUUCAAGAGUUUAAACAUUUCCGACUUGACUGGCCUUGGCGGCCUGAGCCGAAUUUUUGGUUUCCAUUGGGACAAAACUCAAAAAUCGUUCUUUAUUGAUUCUUUAAAGCCUUUGCUUUCAAGAUCAAGAUGAAAGGGUCAUAGAAAAAGAAACGGUACAGCAAAGUGUUUUAUGCACCAUGUGAAGUGGAUGAGCUCCAUCAAUACAAAUACACCGUCCACACACACGUUUACUUUAAAGGCCCAUUUCUAUAUUCUAGAUACCUUCACUGUAAACAUAGACAGGUGACAUCAGGAUUUCUCCAUGUUCCAUGUCCGUGUUCCAAAUUCCAUGCUCCAUGUUCCAUGCUCCAUGUUCCGUGUUCUAUGUUCCAUGUUCCGUGUUCUGUGCUCCAUGUUCCGUGUUCUAUGCUCCAUUCCCCACAGUAUAAGAAACACAGUCUGAGGCACAUUUAGUCAGUUAGUUUCAAACCUCACAUCUGCACACACUGAAGUUUUCCGGACAGAAAACUGCAGAAAGCGAUCGUCACGCCUCAGGAGUCUGAAGAGGAGAUGAAGACGCGUUUUGCUGCACUCAACAGAGCUCGAGGUAAGUGAGAAAUCCAGACAGACUGCAGCCGUACUGCUGUGAAUCAUGUGUUUGUACUAUCGGGUAAGGGAAGCUGUGACGUAGAGUUAGUACCUUGUGAUAAACCUCUGAUUCCUGCUGUUAUCAUGUACAUGUACACAGAGACACUAACGUAUAAAAGUACUUACACAGAGGCACUCACAUAUAAAAGUACUUACACAGAGACACUAACGUAUAAAAGUACUUAGACAGAGACACACGUAUAUAAAAGUACUUACACAGAGACACUAACGUAUAAAAGUACUUACACAGAGACACACACACAUAUAAAAGUACUUAGACAGAGACACACACACACACACAUAAAGGUAUUUACACAGAGACACACACACAAAUAACAGACCAGAGUUGUCAAGUUACUGUACUUAAGUAGAAAUUUGGGUUAUCUAUACUUUACUGGAGUAUUUAUUUUCAGACGGCUUUUUACUUCUACUCCUUACAUUUCCACUUAAAUAUCUGUACUUUCUACUCCUUAAAUCUUAAAAACAGCCUCAUUACUUCCGGCUUGUCCCAUGUUCAAAAACACAAAAAAAACCCAUCUAGAUAAAUGGCGCUACUUUUACUUAAGUAAAAAGCUUGAGUCGAUACUUCAACUUCUACAGGAGUCUUUUUAAACCCUAGUAUCUGUACUUCUACUUGAGUAAUAAAUGUGAAUACUUUUGACCCCUCUGAACAGAACAUAUAACACACUUACAGUGUUGGUAGGCCCAGAGAUGCACAAAACAUGAAAAGCAUACACAGAAAUACACCUUAAAAACCACAAAUAUAUAAUGUAGACUUACACACACAUAGAAACAUGAAAUAAUUAAACAAAAGUGUAUCAAAUUAAAAUAAUUGGACCUAUGAAUGUUGUCUCACAUCCUGAUGAUCCUCCUCACGUCUCUUCUCCUUGUCUCUGCAGACCAACAGGACGUCAUCAGGAAGCCAUCAGGACGUCACGCCAUCAGGACGCCAUCAGGACGUCACGCCAUCAGGACGCCAUCAGGAUGCCACGCCAUCAGGAUGUGCUGAGAGUCGCCCCCUCAGGAGCAGCGCCAGAUCUACGCAUGACUCAGAUAAGCGCACAACACACACACACACACAUACUCAGAGACAAACUAAUAUUUAGAUGUAGGAUUCAGGAAUCAGGAAACAUUUAUUAGCCAAAAUAUCUCAAACAUAAAAGGAAUUUGUCUUGGCGGUUAGUGCGCGACAGUAGACAGACAGGACAACAGUGCACAAGUAAUAAAAUAAAGUGGAAUGAAAUGCUAAUGCAAUGGGUUAGUAGAAUAAGGCUAAGGCUAUGGGUUCGUAUAAAACAAGGGAAUAAAGUUAAAAAAAUGUAAAUAUUAAAAAGUUAAAAAGAAAAAUAUUAAGCAUAAAGUGCACUAACGAACAAGUAACAGACAAGAGACGAAGUGACUGUACACAAAGACACACUAAUAUUUAAUUGUUGACAUAGACAUAUUAAUAUUUCGAUGUACACAUAGAUCAUUAAUAUUUCGAUGUACACAUAGGCACACUACCUGUAAGAGGCGAUUUAUGAUGUAUGGCAGCAUCUGAUUGAUGGGCGGGUCAGCCUAUAUAGGGUAGGAACCUUUGGGGGCUCGGCAGGUGUUUCUAGCCGGAAUGAGAAAAACAGUUUUGACUUUGAAUGUAGAGGCUAAGCCAACGCUUUAAGCC